AGAAACUGCAGUUACUUUUGC
rnacentral:miRNA from 1 species